rnacentral:ribozyme from 16 species
AAGUUUUUUUUUUUUUUGCCCCCCGUUAAAAAAGGGUUUGGAAAAAAAAAAAAAAAAAAAAAAAA